rnacentral:rRNA from 1 species
GAUGAACGCUGGCGGCGUGCCUAAUACAUGCAAGUCGAGCGAACAGAUAAGGAGCUUGCUCCUUUGACGUUAGCGGCGGACGGGUGAGUAACACGUGGGUAACCUACCUAUAAGACUGGGAUAACUUCGGGAAACCGGAGCUAAUACCGGAUAAUAUUUCGAACCGCAUGGUUCGAUAGUGAAAGAUGGUUUUGCUAUCACUUAUAGAUGGACCCGCGCCGUAUUAGCUAGUUGGUAAGGUAACGGCUUACCAAGGCGACGAUACGUAGCCGACCUGAGAGGGUGAUCGGCCACACUGGAACUGAGACACGGUCCAGACUCCUACGGGAGGCAGCAGUAGGGAAUCUGCCGCAAUGGGCGAAAGCCUGACGGAGCAACGCCGCGUGAGUGAUGAAGGUCUUCGGAUCGUAAAACUCUGUUAUUAGGGAAGAACAUACGUGUAAGUAACUGUGCACGUCUUGACGGUACCUAAUCAGAAAGCCACGGCUAACUACGUG